ensembl:lncRNA
UGGGUUCAGGCUCUGUUUAGGAUCGGUAUCGGAAAAACCCAAACGAUACUCAUCCGUACCAGACAUGAGUCUGCACGCUCAACGUGAAGCUACAGCCAGCCGCUGGUUAGCUUAGCAUGGAGACUGGAGACAAGAGGGCUCGAAAGGGAUGUUUAGAAAUCCGCAUUCAACAGUUUACAAAUUUCCGACUUGAUGAAACAAUGGACAAAAAUUGUUCUUUAUUUAUUCUUAAAGUGUUUGCCUUUAAGAUCAAGAUGGGGUCAUAGAAAAAAACAAGUAGAGCAAAGUGUUUUAUGCACCAUGUUAAGUGGAUGAGCUUCAUCAAUACAAAUACACCGUCCACACACACACAUUUUCUCUAAUGGCUCAUUUGCAUAAUGUGGAUACCUUCACUGUAACCAUAGAGACGUUACAUCAUGAUGGAACAUUUCUCCAUGUUCCAUGUUCCAUGUUCUAUGCUCCGUUCACCACAGCAUAAGAAACACAGUCUGUUGCACAUCCAGUCAGUCAGUUUCAAACCUCGCAUCUACACACUGUUUUCCGGACCUACACUUGCAGAAAGCAACCAUGUAAUGCCUCAGGAGUCUGUAGAGGGGACGAAGACGCGUUCUGCUGCACUCAACAGAGCUCAAGACCAACGGGACGCCAUCAGGACGCCACGCCAUCGGGACGCCACGUCAACGGGACGCCAUCAGGACGUCACGUCAACCCCUCAGGAGCAAAUCCAGAUCUACUCAUGACACACACACACACACCCACACACACACACACACACACAUAAAUGUACACACAGACACACUAACAUUUGGUUCUAAACAAAGACACACACUAAUAUUUAGAUGUACACAAAGACACAAUAACCAUUAGAUGUACACACAGACACACUUAACAAUUAGAUCUACACACAGACACACUAACAAUUACAUGUACACACAGACACACUAUCAUUUGGUUCUAAACAAAGACACACACUAAUAUGUAGAUGUACACAAAGACACAAUAACAUUUAGAUGUACACACAGACACACUAACAAUUAGAUCUACACACAGACACACUAACAAUUACAUAUACACACAGACACACUAACAUUUGGUUCUAAACAAAGACAUAAACUAAUAUUUUGAUGUACAGGAAGACAUAUUAAUAUUUAGAUCUACACACAGACACACUAACAAUUAGAUGUACACACAGACACAUCCUGAUGAUCCUCCUCACGUCUCUUCUCCUUGUCUGCAGCCCAACGGGACGCCAUCAGGACGCCAUCAGGACGCCACGUCAUCGGGACGCCAUCAGGAUGCCAUCAGGACGCCACGUCAACCCCUCAGGAGCAAAUCCAGAUCUACUCAUGACAGACACCCACACACACACACACACACACACACACACACACACACAGAUGUACACACAGACACACUAACAUUUGGUUCUAAACAAAGACACACACUAAUAUUUUGAUGUACACAAAGACACAUUCAUAUUUAGAUGUACACACAGGCACACUAACAAUUACAUGAACACACAGACACACUAACAUUUGGUUCCAAACAAAGACACACACUAACAUUUAGAUGUACACAAAGACACACACUAAUAUUUUGAUGUACACGAAGACAUAUUAAUAUUUAGAUCUACACACAGACACACUAACAAUUAGAUGUACACACAGACACAUCCUGAUGAUCCUCCUCACGUCUCUUCUCCUUGUCUGCAGACCAACGGGACGCCAUCAGGACGCCAUCAGGACGCCACGUCAUCGGGACGCUACGUCAUCAGGAUGCCAUCAGGACGCCACGUCAACCCCUACACAUUAAGAUGAACUGCUUCAGGUGUUUUCCCAAUGAUUGUGUUAUUAUUAUUGUUAAUCAUGUCGUCUGUUUAUUAUUUUAACAAUGAAAAUAAAUUUUGAUUAAAAAAAACCCAAAUGAAUCCGUCUUGUUUUCUU